rnacentral:lncRNA from 1 species
GGGGUUCAAAUAGUUUUUCUUAGCUUUAGAAAAAUGCUAUUAUAUGUCUUUGAUAGCCAUUGCUGAAGCCGCUUAAAUAAUGUAUUUGGCGCUUAAGUCUAAUUUCCCGAUAGGUAUUGGCGGAAUUAAUGAUUUUAUCUUUCCGCUCCCUUAAUUUUCUGAAUAGCAUUAAUUAAGUUCUAUUUUAGGUUUCAUUCUAUCAUAGUAUUUCACUACAAGAAAACAUCGGUAUUCUGACGGACAUUCCGACGGAAAAUGAAAUCCUCGGAAUAUACCGAAGAAUUUCCGAGGAAAUUCCGAGGAAACACAAAAUUGGGGUUCCUCGGAAUUUACCGACGGAAUUCCGAGGAAACCUCAGUCCGUCGGAAUAUUCCGAGGAACAAUGUGUUCCUCGGAAAAAACCGAUGAAUU